GAUGAACGCUGGCGGCGUGCCUAAUACAUGCAAGUCGAGCGAACGGACGAGAAGCUUGCUUUUCUGAUGUUAGCGGCGGACGGGUGAGUAACACGUGGAUAACCUACCUAUAAGACUGGGAUAACUUCGGGAAACCGGAGCUAAUACCGGAUAAUAUUUUGAACCGCAUGGUUCAAAAGUGAAAGACGGUCUUGCUGUCACUUAUAGAUGGAUCCGCGCUGCAUUAGCUAGUUGGUAAGGUAACGGCUUACCAAGGCAACGAUGCAUAGCCGACCUGAGAGGGUAAUCGGCCACACUGGAGCUGAGACACGGUCCAGACUCCUACGGGAGGCAGCAGAAGGGAAUAUUCCGCAAUGGACGAAAGCCUGACGGAGCAACGCCGCGUGAGUGAUGAAGGUCUUCGGAUCGUAAAACUCUGUUAUUAGGGAAGAACAUAUGUGUAAGUAACUGUGCACAUCUUGACGGUACCUAAUCAGAAAGCCACGGCUAACUACGUG
rnacentral:rRNA from 1 species